rnacentral:rRNA from 1 species
AGUGAACGCUGGCGGUAGGCCUAACACAUGCAAGUCGAACGGCAGCACAGUAAGAGCUUGCUCUUACGGGUGGCGAGUGGCGGACGGGUGGGGAAUACAUCGGAAUCUACUUUUUCGUGGGGGAUAACGUAGGGAAAAUUACGCUAAUACCGCAUAAGACCUACGGGUGAAAGCAGGGGAUCUUCGGACCUUGCGCGAUUGAAUGAGCCGAUGUCGGAUUAGCUAGUUGGCGGGGUAAAGGCCCACCAAGGCGACGAUCCGUAGCUGGUCUGAGAGGAUGAUCAGCCACACUGGAACUGAGACACGGUCCAGACUCCUACGGGAGGCAGCAGUGGGGAAUAUUGGACAAUGGGCGCAAGCCUGAUCCAGCCAUACCGCGUGGGUGAAGAAGGCCUUCGGGUUGUAAAGCCCUUUUGUUGGGAAAGAAAAGCAGCAGGUUAAUACCCCGCUGUUCUGACGGUACCCAAAGAAUAAGCACCGGCUAACUUCGUG